rnacentral:tRNA from 2 species
GCCGAAGUGGCGGAAUGGCAGACGCGAAGGUCUCAAAAACCUUUGGGGUAACACCCGUGUGGGUUCGACUCCCACCUUCGGCACCA